GACGAACCGAGCGAACGUUGUUCGGAAUCACUGGGCUUAAAGGGCGCGUAGGCGGGUGCUCAAGUCCGGGGUGAAAUCCUCCAGCUCAACUGGAGAACUGCCUCGGAUACUGGGCGUCUCGAGUGUGGUAGGGGUGUGCGGAACUAUCGGUGGAGCGGUGAAAUGCGUUGAUAUCGAUAGGAACACCAGUGGCGAAGGCGGCGAUCUGGGAAGAUACUGACGCUGAGGUGCGAAAGCGUGGGGAGCAAACAGG
rnacentral:rRNA from 1 species